AAUUAAAUUAGGGCUGCACGAUUAAUCGUAUUUUAAUCACGAUAACGAUAUCUGCUUCUCCCGAUUGAUUUUAAAUAAUCGUCAAGAUAUGGACUACUUGCACAGCUACUUCCGCUUUCUACUUAUUACGGCUCGAGCGUUUCCGGUCAGCGUUCAGCGCACUUAUAUACAGAGAGCUUCUUGUGAAAACGCAGAUUAUUACUACAUUUUAGGGCUGCGAAAUGUUUUUUAAACAAUUAAUCAUAUUCUCUGCAUUAACAUUAAUUAUCUUCAACCUGCUGAAAUGUUUAUUAAUAUAUUUCCCUUCCAAAUGCGCAUUCUGAAUAAUAAAUAAAUAUAUUUCCCCACUAACCUUCCGCCGUCAAGUGCUCGUCUUCUCAUUAGCAGUGUUUUUCUCUUAGUCAUCAUAUUUCAUACCUGUUAAAUUUACAUUUAAAUGAAUUUGACAGGAAGUGCAUUGUUUUACUAUGGUAAGUCCCAGCUAACACACGACGUAACAGUUACGUAAUGUAUUCGUACUUUUUGGUAAUUUAAUGACUUACUAACUGACAACGUAACUGCGACGUCGCAUGCCAGUAAUUUCAUUACCUUCCCAGAUAGCAACAGACUCCGGGGCGGAUCCGCCUUCAAGUCGCCAGCUCCGCUGUACGCUCAGAUUCAAUUCGGCAACGCGCACAGGAUAUGCCCCGCCUCCGCACAGCGCACUGUCAACUCGCGGACUCGUUACAGAUGCUGGGCGGAUUCACUGACCGGACGCGCCUUUUUUCAACUGUCGUCGUCACUGAAUCCUCCUCACUGUGGAAAAGCUGGAGCCGGCAGGUCGGUGAAGACUAAACAUGCUUACAGCUCAUUCAAGUGCCGCCAGUGUGUUUUUGGAGUAUUUCUUCUUUCUAUUUCAUCUUUCAUCUGAGGAAACUUACAGCUCAUUCAAGUGCCGCCAGUGUGUUUUUGGAGUAUUCUUCUUUGUAUUUCAUCUUUACCAAACGUCUGAGGAAAGUAAGAUUAAAAACUGUUUUAAACUUGAUUUAGGCAGCUAUUUUGUCAAAUACUGAUAAUGGUGUACAACUACAGCUUUUAACAUGUAAUAAUUGUGCCAUUUGAAAAAAUUCAUACCUAUAAUUGAUGGGUUAAAGUUUAAAAACCCACUUGUAUCAGUAAACUUUAGUUCUAGUAUACUAGUUUGAGUCUAUUUUUGUUUACAUUUGACAAUUCUCCACCUCAUGUAAUGUUGUUUCAGAUCAUUAUUUCAUAUCAUAGAGAGGAAAUGUCAUUGCUCCCUAUGUAGGCCUCACCGAGCCAUGAGAUUCAAUCAAAAUAUCUUAAUUUGUGUUCUGAAGAUGAACGAAGGCAUUACAGGUGUAGAACGACAUGAGGAUGGAGUCCAAGAAGUUCCUCCUGUGUGCUGUGAGAAAGAACCAUGUAUCACGUACCGCCACUGAUGAAGACAUUACAAAACACAAUACGAUGGUUCAGCCUGGCAGCUGAUAGGGGAAGCUCCAGGAACCGUCCCACUGUGAGCACCCAACAGUAGAGUUUCAGAGUAUCAUUGGCUACGUUUACAUGCACCGAUUUUCGUCAAUCUGAAUUAAUUGAAUCUGAUUGCAGAUCUGUUUACAUGUACUAUAAACAUUGUAAUCUGAUUCAAAUAUCCAUUUAUAUUUGUUUUAUAUACAUUCCGAUUAAAACUUUGAUGUGCAAAUGCAGCAAAUCUUGGCAAUAUUAAGAGGAUUUGGUAUUUCCAAUUAAUGUAGGCCUGUUACAUACUUCUAGUCUAUUAUUAUUACUAUUAGGUUAGGCUUCUUUCUUUUAUUAUUAAAUUAAUAUUAUAAUAAAUUUGCCCCACAAUUUCAUAGCGCAUCACCGCAUAACUGACGUGCUCUGAGGAUAACUUAUAAGAUUAGGCUAUUAGCUAUCUUUGUAUCAGACCUAAAAAAAGUUUAAAUCAUUUUCAAUGAAUUAUAGGCCUAUAAUUAAAGUUAUUAAGAAUGUCAAUGAAAAUUAAGCGCAGCUUUACUUCAAGCACUGACUUUAAAAAACAAACCACCUGUUUAACACGAAAUACUAUUAUUCUCAUUUGUUUCACUAGCCUAUAUGUACGGCCACAAGUGAAAUAAUGGAAUAAAUUUAGACAGUUACAUAGGCUACCGUUAUCAGCAUUUUAUGUUGAAAUUCGUCUCUGAGAAUAUGCUUUGUUAAAGCAGCCUCAGACAGCUCCGUCACUUUUUACUUUUUGUGGUGAAUACUGACCGAGUUUGAGACUUUUUCAUCAGCAUAACUCUUGAGCAAAGUUUGGACGUUGCUUCUUGUGUGAUAUCCACUGGCUCCCCGUCUUGUCUUAAAACGGAAGAUUUCCAAUAUUGUGACGAAGUGAUACAUACGCCACUGCCUGUUGACAUACAUCUUUACAACUAAAGACGUGAACGUUAACUUUAAAUGCGUGUCAGCAUUGCACUGUUGUGCCCCAGAGGCUUCUGAAUACUAUUGAGAAAGUAGUCGGAUUCAAUGUUUACAUGGUUAUUUUUUGCUGUUUGAUCGGAUUAGAAAAGGAAUAAACCACCCCUUCCAAUCCGAUCGAAAUUUCAUUCAGAUCGAUUGAGGUGUUUACAUGAACGUUUUUCAAUCCGAUUGAGCCGUCAAUCCGAUUACAAAUGGAUUAUUUGGGUGCAUGUAAACGUAGCCAAUGUUAACUUCAGUGUUUUGAAGUGUUCAUUUAAAAUCGCUACAGUUACAAUAAAAUAAAGAAGGUUCAAGUUUAUUUUUAAAUAAAUGUUUUAAUUGUUUUUAUUUCUAUUCAAAGAAUCUUAAAAAAAAUCCAGUUUCUACAAAAAAAUGAAGCAGUACAACUGUUUACAACAUUAAUAACAAAAAUGUUGCUCGAAUAUUUACUCUUAAGUGUUAUUUUUCAUUAAAUAAAAAAUGUUUUUGGUACAAUUUAUGGUUGCAUUUCAUUUUCUGUAAUUCUAUUCAAUACCUAUUAAUGUACAUAAAUAAUAAAACUAUAAAAAUAGUAAUAGUAAUUACAUACUGUAAAUAUAUUUACAAACUAUUUUUAUAGUUUUAUUGUAACUGGCUAAAGUUUUGAAUGAUUUCAUCAUGUUUUAUUAAUAUUAAUAAAGGUAAACAUUAAAUAGUCAAGCUUUUAUAGAGCAAUCCAGUCUGUCUAAUGUUGGUCCAUUAGAUUUUAAAUAUUUCUGUGUAGCCAGUUUUGGCCAGAAUACUAUUUCGAGAGUGAUCUGAAAGGUAUUCAGACCAAAUGAACCACAUAAACGGGUCCAGUUCGGAUCCGCGGCGGAUCAGCUGCUUCAUAAACGGGUCCGUAUUGGAUCCGCGGCGGAUCAGCUGCUUCAUAAACGGGUCCGUAUUGCAUCCGCGGCGGAUCAGCUGCUUCAUAAACGGGUCC